rnacentral:rRNA from 1 species
UUCGUAGGCGGUUAUUUAAGUCAGGUGUGAAAGGCAUAGGCUCAACCUGUGUAAGCACUUGAAACUGAAUGACUUGAGUUAAGGAGAGGAAAGUGGAAUUCCUAGUGUAGCGGUGAAAUGCGUAGAUAUUAGGAGGAAUACCAGUGGCGAAGACGACUUUCUGGACUUAUACUGACGCUGAGGAACGAAAGCGUGGGGAGCAAACA